rnacentral:ncRNA from 2 species
GAGUCAUCAUAUGACUGACGGAAGUGGAAUAAACCACAUGAAGUAUGAUUUUAAAAAGCCGACCGUCUGGGCACUCUGC